UUUAUCGGUAUGAGAUGGCGAUGCGUCCCAUUAGCUUGUUGGUGAGGUAAUGGCUCACCAAGGCAUCGAUGGGUAGGGGUUCUGAGAGGAAGGUCCCCCACAUUGGAACUGAGACACGGUCCAAACUCCUACGGGAGGCAGCAGUGAGGAAUAUUGGUCAAUGGACGAAAGUCUGAACCAGCCAAGUAGCGUGCAGGACGACGGCCCUCUGGGUUGUAAACUGCUUUUAGUUGGGAAUAAAAAGAGGGACGUGUCCCUUAUUGUAUGUACCAUCAGAAAAAGGACCGGCUAAUUCCGUGCCAGCAGCCGCGGUAAUACGGAAGGUCCAGGCGUUAUCCGGAUUUAUUGGGUUUAAAGGGAGCGCAGGCGGCGGCGUAAGUCAGUUGUGAAAUCGUGCGGCUUAACCGUGCAAUUGCAGUUGAUACUGCGUCGCUUGAGUGCACACA
rnacentral:rRNA from 1 species